UACGUAGGUGGCAAGCGUUGUCCGGAAUUAUUGGGCGUAAAGCGCGCGCAGGCGGUCCUUUAAGUCUGAUGUGAAAGCCCACGGCUCAACCGUGGAGGGUCAUUGGAAACUGGGGGACUUGAGUACAGAAGAGAAGAGUGGAAUUCCACGUGUAGCGGUGAAAUGCGUAGAGAUGUGGAGGAACACCAGUGGCGAAGGCGACUCUUUGGUCUGUGAACUGACGCUGAGGCGCGAAAGCGUGGGGAGCAAACGGAUUAGAACCUACCGAGUCAGACCAAGAUCCAG
rnacentral:rRNA from 1 species